UACAGGGGGGGCAAGCGUUGUUCGGAAUUACUGGGCGUAAAGCGCACGUAGGCGGCUUUGUAAGUUAGAGGUGAAAGCCCAGGGCUCAACCCUGGAAUUGCCUUUAAGACUGCAUUGCUUGAACAUCGGAGAGGUAAGUGGAAUUCCGAGUGUAGAGGUGAAAUUCGUAGAUAUUCGGAAGAACACCAGUGGCGAAGGCGACUUACUGGACGAUUGUUGACGCUGAGGUGCGAAAGCGUGGGGAGCAAACAGG
rnacentral:rRNA from 1 species